rnacentral:rRNA from 1 species
CACGUAGGGCGCAAGCGUUGUCCGGAAUUAUUGGGCGUAAAGAGCUCGUAGGCGGUCUGUUACGUCUGCUGUGAAAACCCGGGGCUUAACCCUGGGCUUGCAGUGGAUACGGGCAGACUAGAGGCAGGUAGGGGAGAAUGGAAUUCCCGGUGUAGCGGUGAAAUGCGCAGAUAUCGGGAGGAACACCUGUGGCGAAAGCGGCUCACUGGACCAUUACUGACGCUGAUGCUCGAAAGCUAGGGGAGCAAACAGG